UGCGUAGGCGGCUUGGUAGGUUGGGUGUGAAAUCCCACAGCUCAACUGUGGAGCUGCGCUCAAAACCACCAGGCUUGAGGAAGGCAGAGGUGAGCGGAACUGAUGGUGGAGCGGUGAAAUGCGUUGAUAUCAUCAGGAACACCGGUGGCGAAGGCGGCUCACUGGGCCUUUUCUGACGCUGAGGCACGAAAGCUAGGGUCGCGAACAGGAUUAGAUACCCUGGUAGUCC
rnacentral:rRNA from 1 species